GGAGCAGUCGGUAGUGCAGGUGGAGCAGUCCUUGUUCUCUGUAGAUGGGGGAGCAGUCGGUAGUGCAGGUGGAGCAGUCCUCGUUCUCUGUAGAUGGGGGAGCAGUCUGUAGUGCAGGUGGAGCAGUCCUCGUUCUCUGUAGAUGGGGGAGCAGUCGGUAGUGCAGGUGGAGCAGUCCUCGUUCUCUGUAGACGGGGGAGCAGUCGGUAGUGCAGGUGGAGCAGUCCUCGUUCUCUGUAGAUGGGGGAGCAGUCGGUAGUGCAGGUGAAGCAGUCCUCGUUCUCUGUAGACGGGGGAGCAGUCGGUAGUGCAGGUGGAGCAGUCCUCGUUCUCUGUAGAUGGGGGAGCAGUCGGUAGUGCAGGUGGAGCAGUCCUCGUUCUCUGUAGAUGGGGGAGCAGUCGGUAGUGCAGGUGGAGCAGUCUUUGUUCUCUGUAGAUGGGGGAGCAGUCGGUAGUGCAGGUGGAGCAGUCCUUGUUCUCUGUAGAUGAGGGAGCAGUCGGUAGUGCAGGUGGAGCAGUCCUCGUUCUCUGUAGAUGGGGGAGCAGUCGGUAGUGCAGGUGGAGCAGUCCUCGUUCUCUGUAGAUGGGGGAGCAGUCGGUAGUGCAGGUGGAGCAGUCGGUAGUGCAGGUGGAGCAGUCCUCGUUCUCUGUAGAUGGGGGAGCAGUCGGUAGUGCGGGUGGAGCAGUCCUCGUUCUCUGUAGAUGGGGGAGCAGUCGGUAGUGCAGGUGGAGCAGUCCUCGUUCUCUGUAGAUGGGGGAGCAGUCGGUAGUGCAGGUGGAGCAGUCCUCGUUCUCUGUAGAUGGGGGAGCAGUCGGUAGUGCAGGUGGAGCAGUCCUCGUUCUCUGUAGAUGGGGGAGCAGUCGGUAGUGCAGGUGGAGCAAUCCUCGUUCUCUGUAGAUGGGGGAGCAGUCUGUAGUGCAGGUGGAGCAGUCCUCGUUCUCUGUAGAUGGGGGAGCAGUCUGUAGUGCAGGUGGAGCAGUCCUCGUUCUCUGUAGAUGGGGGAGCAGUCGGUAGUGCAGGUGGAGCAGUCCUCGUUCUCUGUAGAUGGGGGAGCAGUCGGUAGUGCAGGUGGAGCAGUCCUCGUUCUCUGUAGAUGGGGGAGCAGUCGGUAGUGCAGGUGGAGCAGUCCUCGUUCUCUGUAGAUGGGGGAGCAGUCGGUAGUGCAGGUGGAGCAGUCCUCGUUCUCUGUAGAUGGGGGAGCAGUCGGUAGAGCAGGUGGAGCAGUCCUCGUUCUCUGUAGAUGGGGGAGCAGUCGGUAGUGCAGGUGGAGCAGUCCUCGUUCUCUGUAGAUGGGGGAGCAGUCGGUAGUGCAGGUGGAGCAAUCCUCGUUCUCUGUAGAUGGGGGAGCAGUCUGUAGUGCAGGUGGAGCAGUCCUCGUUCUCUGUAGAUGGGGGAGCAGUCUGUAGUGCAGGUGGAGCAGUCCUCGUUCUCUGUAGAUGGGGGAGCAGUCGGUAGUGCAGGUGGAGCAGUCCUCGUUCUCUGUAGAUGGGGGAGCAGUCGGUAGUGCAGGUGGAGCAGUCCUCGUUCUCUGUAGAUGGGGGAGCAGUCGGUAGUGCAGGUGGAGCAGUCCUCGUUCUCUGUAGAUGGGGGAGCAGUCGGUAGUGCAGGUGGAGCAGUCCUCGUUCUCUGUAGAUGGGGGAGCAGUCGGUAGUGCAGGUGGAGCAGUCCUCGUUCUCUGUAGAUGGGGGAGCAGUCGGUAGUGCAGGCGGAGCAGUCCUCGUUCUCUGUAGACGGGGGAGCAGUCGGUAGUGCAGGUGGAGCAGUCCUCGUUCUCUGUAGAUGGGGGAGCAGUCGGUAGUGCAGGUGGAGCAGUCCUCGUUCUCUGUAGAUGGGGGAGCAGUCGGUAGUGCAGGUGGAGCAGUCCUCGUUCUCUGUAGAUGGGGGAGCAGUCGGUAGUGCAGGUGGAGCAGUCCUCGUUCUCUGUAGAUGGGGGAGCAGUCGGUAGUGCAGGUGGAGCAGUCCUCGUUCUCUGUAGAUGGGGGAGCAGUCGGUAGUGCAGGUGGAGCAGUCCUCGUUCUCUGUAGAUGGGGGAGCAGUCGGUAGUGCAGGUGGAGCAGUCCUCGUUCUCUGUAGAUGGGGGAGCAGUCGGUAGUGCAGGUGGAGCAGUCCUCGUUCUCUGUAGAUGGGGGAGCAGUCGGUAGUGCAGGUGGAGCAGUCGGUAGUGCAGGUGGAGCAGUCCUCGUUCUCUGUAGAUGGGGGAGCAGUCGGUAGUGCGGGUGGAGCAGUCCUCGUUCUCUGUAGAUGGGGGAGCAGUCGGUAGUGCAGGUGGAGCAGUCCUCGUUCUCUGUAGACGGGGGAGCAGUCGGUAGUGCAGGUGGAGCAGUCCUCGUUCUCUGUAGAUGGGGGAGCAGUCGGUAGUGCAGGUGGAGCAGUCCUCGUUCUCUGUAGAUGAGGGAGCAGUCGGUAGUGCAGGUGGAGCAGUCCUCGUUCUCUGUAGAUGGGGGAGCAGUCGGUAGUGCAGGUGGAGCAGUCCUCGUUCUCUGUAGAUGGGGGAGCAGUCGGUAGUGCGGGUGGAGCAGUCCUCGUUCUCUGUAGAUGGGGGAGCAGUCGGUAGUGCAGGUGGAGCAGUCGGUAGUGCAGGUGGAGCAGUCCUCGUUCUCUGUAGAUGGGGGAGCAGUCGGUAGUGCAGGUGGAGCAGUCCUCGUUCUCUGUAGAUGGGGGAGCAGUCGGUAGUGCGGGUGGAGCAGUCCUCGUUCUCUGUAGAUGGGGGAGCAGUCGGUAGUGCGGGUGGAGCAGUCCUCGUUCUCUGUAGACGGGGGAGCAGUCGGUAGUGCAGGUGGAGCAGUCCUCGUUCUCUGUAGAUGGGGGAGCAGUCGGUAGUGCAGGUGGAGCAGUCCUCGUUCUCUGUAGAUGGGGGAGCAGUCGGUAGUGCAGGUGGAGCAGUCCUCGUUCUCUGUAGAUGGGGGAGCAGUCGGUAGUGCAGGCGGAGCAGUCCUCGUUCUCUGUAGAUGGAGGAGCAGUCGGUAGUGCAGGUGGAGCAGUCCUCGUUCUCUGUAGAUGGGGGAGCAGUCGGUAGUGCAGGUGGAGCAGUCCUCGUUCUCUGUAGAUGGGGGAGCAGUCGGUAGUGCAGGUGGAGCAGUCCUCGUUCUCUGUAGAUGGGGGAGCAGUCAGUAGUGCAGGUGGAGCAGUCCUCGUUCUCUGUAGAUGGGGGAGCAGUCUGUAGUGCAGGUGGAGCAGUCCUCGUUCUCUGUAGAUGGGGGAGCAGUCGGUAGUGCAGGUGGAGCAGUCCUCGUUCUCUGUAGAUGGGGGAGCAGUCGGUAGUGCAGGUGGAGCAGUCCUCGUUCUCUGUAGAUGGGGGAGCAGUCGGUAGUGCAGGUGGAGCAGUCCUCGUUCUCUGUAGAUGGGGGAGCAGUCGGUAGUGCAGGCAGAGCAGUCCUCGUUCUCUGUAGAUGGGGGAGCAGUCGGUAGUGCAGGCGGAGCAGUCCUCGUUCUCUGUAGAUGGAGGAGCAGUCGGUAGUGCAGGUGGAGCAGUCCUCGUUCUCUGUAGAUGGAGGAGCAGUCGGUAGUGCAGGUGGAGCAGUCCUCGUUCUCUGUAGACGGGGGAGCAGUCGGUAGUGCGGGUGGAGCAGUCCUCGUUUUCUGUAGACGGGGGAGCAGUCGGUAGUGCAGGUGGAGCAGUCCUCGUUCUCUGUAGACGGGGGAGCAGUCGGUAGUGCAGGUGGAGCAGUCCUCGUUCUCUGUAGAUGGAGGAGCAGUCGGUAGUGCAGGUGGAGCAGUCCUCGUUCUCUGUAGAUGGAGGAGCAGUCGGUAGUGCAGGUGGAGCAGUCCUCGUUUUCUGUAGAUGGGGGAGCAGUCGGUAGUGCAGGUGGAGCAGUCCUCGUUCUCUGUAGAUGGGGGAGCAGUCGGUAGUGCAGGUGGAGCAGUCCUCGUUCUCUGUAGAUGGAGGAGCAGUCGGUAGUGCAGGUGGAGCAGUCCUCGUUCUCUGUAGACGGGGGAGCAGUCGGUAGUGCAGGUGGAGCAGUCCUCGUUCUCUGUAGAUGGAGGAGCAGUCGGUAGUGCAGGUGGAGCAGUCCUCGUUCUCUGUAGACGGGGGAGCAGUCGGUAGUGCAGGUGGAGCAGUCCUCGUUCUCUGUAGAUGGAGGAGCAGUCGGUAGUGCAGGUGGAGCAGUCCUCGUUCUCUGUAGACGGGGGAGCAGUCGGUAGUGCAGGCGGAGCAGUCCUCGUUCUCUGUAGAUGGGGGAGCAGUCGGUAGUGCAGGCGGAGCAGUCCUCGUUCUCUGUAGAUGGAGGAGCAGUCGGUAGUGCAGGUGGAGCAGUCCUCGUUCUCUGUAGAUGGGGGAGCAGUCGGUAGUGCAGGUGGAGCAGUCGGUAGUGCAGGCGGAGCAGUCCUCGUUCUCUGUAGAUGGAGGAGCAGUCGGUAGUGCAGGUGGAGCAGUCCUCGUUCUCUGUAGAUGGAGGAGCAGUCGGUAGUGCAGGUGGAGCAGUCCUCGUUCUCUGUAGAUGGAGGAGCAGUCGGUAGUGCAGGUGGAGCAGUCCUCGUUCUCUGCAGUGUUAUGCUCCCUGGCUCAGCUGCCCUUUGGCGUCCAGUAUAUUAAGCUGCUAACCAUCUCUCUUCCAGUCUUGUCCUCUGUCCCCCCCCCCCCCCCCCCCCCCUCCCCCCAAUUUCCUCUUCCCCAACCUGGCCGGCUCUCUCUUCUGGUGGUGGGGGUCCUCCAUCCUUUAUACUGGUCCUUGGUAAGAGUGUAUACUGCCUUGUCAGCGCUGACCCCUGUGCUCUCUAUCCCCCGUCUGUCUCUC